rnacentral:lncRNA from 1 species
GGACCUAUUAGCCUUCCUUAUUUAGCGAAUCUGGCUCGCGCAUCGAGGGUACGAGUAAAUGAUCGAUUUGUUAACUGGAUCAGAAGGUAUUAUGAGGGCUUUUGUUGGAUGGUCUGAAAGUUAUAUAAACACUCUUUGUGGGAUAAGUUUUGAAGGCUAAAUGAAUAGUCUUUUUGGGAUGGAGGGAGUAGAUAUUAUUAUGUACCUAGAUAUACACUAUGUGAUAUAGAUCUAUGAACUAAAAAACUAAGACGACUUACAAUUUCAAACGGAGGGAGCAUGUCCCAUUGACCGUGCGGCAAAGUUUGCCGCGCAAAAUGACAUUUCGAUUGAGCAAGGACCUCUAGUUCACUGCAAAUUUGAAUCAACAGCUAUCCUAAAAAGGUGCCAAGUUUUGUGGAAUGAACAAUCACACGUUUCUAUGAACGCUACUAUUUUUCUUACAAGAUCUGAACCAUACUGGUGCCUAACCUUUCAUAUCUCGAUGUAUAUUUGGACUGUACAACGCAGAGAAUUACAGGGGUACGUGUUUGUAGAGGUCAGCUGAGUCCGACGAAUUUUGGUAGAAUCAAACCUAAAUUAGUG